UUUGAGUGUUUGUUUCACUCUGGCAGAAGCGAGGAACACAGCGUGUGUCGUCGUUUUAGUUUGGCCAGUACAAAGGCGAUGGCAAAGGCGGCCUGAUGGGAAGUCUGGCAAACAUCUUCUCCUUGUUGAUGGAACAAAUUCGGAAGCGUGGCCUUCUGGGGCUCUACAAAGGCCUGGAGGCCAAGCUGCUUCAGACGGUGCUGACGGCUGCCCUCAUGUUUGUGGUGUACGAGAAGAUCCCUGCCGCCAUCUUCAAAAUGAUGGGCCUGCACAGGAAGCUCACACACCGAGCGGCUCGUCGCUCGCGCUCCCAAUCCCGAUUGGAGAGGUGAAGGAGAUCACUCAGAUCAAAUGCUCCAUUUGGUGGACUUCGUAACGUGCACUUUGGUUAAACCGACUAAUGAGAUGAAAUGACUCACGGCAAAUGAUGAAAAGUGCUUUUUGGGGUUGUUGACUUUUGAAUGGAAAGUCCUCAUGACUGUCAGUCAGUGACAUGACACGGGCUCCUAUCACUUGUUUACAUGACGGGAAAAAAAACACUUGGAUUUAUAUUUCCAGUCAUUAUUUUUACAAGUCAAGAAAUUAUCUUUCAAAAAAGUGGUUUGUACUGUUUUAGUGGUAAAAGUGGGUUAGUAAAAACAUUACAAUUUGAUUCAGAGACUGAAAGUUUAUUUCUUAAUAAAGGUUUGACGCUUA